AACGAACGCUGGCGGCGCGCCUAAUACAUGCAAGUCGAGCGAGAAGGUGUAGCAAUACACUUGUAAAGCGGCGAACGGGUGAGGAAUACAUGGGUAAUCUACCAUCGAGUGGGGAAUAACCAACCGAAAGGUUGGCUAAUACCGCGUACGCCUCCGGAUCUUCGGGUUCGGAGGGAAAGCUGCACUGUGAGUGUAGCGCUCUUUGAUGAGCUCAUGUCCUAUCAGCUUGUUGGUAGGGUAACGGCCUACCAAGGCUUUGACGGGUAGCUGGUCUGAGAGGACGAUCAGCCACACUGGCACUGCGACACGGGCCAGACUCCUACGGGAGGCAGCAGUAAGGAAUAUUGCGCAAUGGGCGAAAGCCUGACGCAGCGACGCCGCGUGGGGGAUGAAGGUCUUCGGAUUGUAAACCCCUUUCGGGAGGGAAGAUGGAGCGAGCAAUCGUUCGGACGGUACCUCCAGAAGCAGCCACGGCCAACUUCGUGCCAGCA
rnacentral:rRNA from 1 species